rnacentral:rRNA from 1 species
ACCUGCAGUCGAACGGUGAAGCCCCGCUUGCGGGGUGGAUCAGUGGCGAACGGGUGAGUAACACGUGAGCAACCUGCCCCUGACUCUGGGAUAAGCGCUGGAAACGGCGUCUAAUACUGGAUACGAGACGUGAUCGCAUGGUCAACGUUUGGAAAGAUUUUUCGGUUGGGGAUGGGCUCGCGGCCUAUCAGCUUGUUGGUGAGGUAAUGGCUCACCAAGGCGUCGACGGGUAGCCGGCCUGAGAGGGUGACCGGCCACACUGGGACUGAGACACGGCCCAGACUCCUACGGGAGGCAGCAGUGGGGAAUAUUGCACAAUGGGCGCAAGCCUGAUGCAGCAACGCCGCGUGAGGGAUGACGGCCUUCGGGUUGUAAACCUCUUUUAGCAGGGAAGAAGCGAGAGUGACGGUACCUGCAGAAAAAGCACCGGCUAACUACGUGCCAGCAGCCGCGGUAAUACGUAGGGUGCAAGCGUUAUCCGGAAUUAUUGGGCGUAAAGAGCUCGUAGGCGGUUUGUCGCGUCUGCUGUGAAAUCUGGGGGCUCAACCCCCAGCCUGCAGUGGGUACGGGCAGACUAGAGUGCGGUAGGGGAGAUUGGAAUUCCUGGUGUAGCGGUGGAAUGCGCAGAUAUCAGGAGGAACACCGAUGGCGAAGGCAGAUCUCUGGGCCGUAACUGACGCUGAGGAGCGAAAGGGUGGGGAGCAAACAGGCUUAGAUACCCUGGUAGUCCACCCCGUAAACGUUGGGAACUAGUUGUGGGGUCCAUUCCACGGAUUCCGUGACGCAGCUAACGCAUUAAGUUCCCCGCCUGGGGAGUACGGCCGCA